GAUGAACGCUGGCGGCGUGCUUAACACAUGCAAGUCGAACGGAAAGGCUCCUGCUUGCAGGGGUACUCGAGUGGCGAACGGGUGAGUAACACGUGGGUGAUCUGCCCUGCACUUCGGGAUAAGCCUGGGAAACUGGGUCUAAUACCGGAUAGGACGAUGGUUUGGAUGCCAUUGUGGAAAGUUUUUCGGUGUGGGAUGAGCUCGCGGCCUAUCAGCUUGUUGGUGGGGUAAUGGCCUACCAAGGCGUCGACGGGUAGCCGGCCUGAGAGGGUGUACGGCCACAUUGGGACUGAGAUACGGCCCAGACUCCUACGGGAGGCAGCAGUGGGGAAUAUUGCACAAUGGGCGCAAGCCUGAUGCAGCGACGCCGCGUGGGGGAUGACGGCCUUCGGGUUGUAAACUCCCUUCGCUAGGGACGAAGCGCAAGUGACGGGACCUGGAGAAGAAGCACCGGCUAACUACGU
rnacentral:rRNA from 1 species